rnacentral:rRNA from 1 species
UACAGAGGUGGCAAGCGUUGUUCGGAAUUACUGGGCGUAAAGGGCGAGUAGGUGGCCAUCUAAGUCAGACGUGAAAUCCCCCGGCUUAACCUGGGAACUGCGUCUGAUACUGGACGGCUUGAGUAUGGGAGAGGAGCGUAGAAUUCCAGGUGUAGCGGUGAAAUGCGUAGAUAUCUGGAGGAAUACCGGUGGCGAAGGCGGCGUUCUGGACCAUUACUGACACUGAAUCGCGAAAGCUAGGGGAGCAAACGGG